UUCAUAUUUUGGUAUUUUUUUCUUUUGUAUAAUCAGUGAAAAGAUUAUUGGGUUGGGAUUCCUAAUUUGAUAAUUUAAUUUUCUGAAGUUGAUUUAAAAUUGCGAUUCUGCAUUCUCUGCGGCAGAUUUUAAUUGCCUUCUUUUGCUUCGUUGAUGUGUGUUUCUGCCUUCCCCACUUAACUAAUCCAUGUUAGUAGCAGUGUGGAUUGUGUACUAUAGAAGAGUGCCGAAAGCACCUUCUUGAAUUGCUAAAAUUGUGUUUAGUGAUACCUAGUGGCUUGUAAAAAAAUAUUAUGCUUAGAGAAUCUUAGAAAGACAACGAGAAAGAAUUUAGCUUAAAGAUAUGCUGUAUUUCAUGAAUGAGAAUAUGUAAAAGCUUAUUAAUUGACCUACAAUUGAGAAGAAGGUGAUACCAAAGUUACUGUUGCAACCUUGUCUGGUUUGCAUCUACAUAGAGCAGGAGUUAGCAACAGGUUGUUUGAGUAAUGGAUAAAUUUGAGAGUGUUGACAUGAAUGAUUAUCGUAAUCAUAUCUUGGAUGGAUGAAAGAGUUAUGGAAUAAAUGGAGAGGACACUUACAUGCAAAAUAUGUGAAGGAUAAGCCAAUCCAACAUGCUCUUAAGAAUAUUCCAAAGGGAGUAGAUAAGAAAGAAUGGGAGUGGUUAGUAAAGGAACAUUUUUCAUCAGAAAGUUUUCAGGCAAGAAGCAAUAGGAAUGCAGCAAACCGAGCUAAGUUGAAGAUGCUUCAUCAUAUUGGUAGCAAACCUAUUCGAGAGAUUAUUUAUCAAAAGGACCGCUUGUCUACCUUAGAAGAUGAGAUGAAAGAAAUGAAGAAAAUAAGGAAAUCAUUCGCUGCUCAACAAUCACAUGUCUCGCCUACGACAUCGCCCGUUUCAACUGAAUGACCACUAUUUUUGUCUGCUGGCCAAGUUUUGAAGAUUGAAGCUACAAGAAUGCAAGUUUGGAAGAUAUACAAGCUCAUUAUUACUUUGCUAGGAAUAUUAUGUAAAACUUGAUAUUGUUGUCUAACGCAAGAUGUUAGCUAAGCUUUUUUGUUAAGGUGUUGAGUAAAUAUUGAAACUAACAUCAUGGGAUGUUAACAUUGUAAUUAAUAUCUUUUUAUAUCAAGACUUUUUAGUAGCAAUUUGA